CUUAAACUAGUUAUCCCCCGGGAAUAUCAACUCAAAUGGCCCAAAUUCAUGAUCUCCCUCUUCCCUCCCACAAAACCCCACCCCUUUUCUGAACUGUCUCAUUACUGUCUAAACCUCGGAGCAUCCUCGACUUGUCACUCUCAGGCGUCCCACAUGGCCAGACAAGAUCCAAGCCUCCAUCUCCUAGAAACCUUCUUGGAUCCCCCAACCACCUUCAGAGCUGCUGGAGCCUUCCUCGCAAAUUAACCAGAGAUAAUCGUAAGGUCAUAUUACCUGAUGGGCAAUAUCUGUAAAUGGCUACUCUUCAUGGUUUGGAGCUGGAAAGGGCCAUGGAGUCCAACCCACUCAUCUUACAGAUGAAGAGACUGAGGUCCAUGGAAGGCUCCUCUACUGUAAAAGAGAGAAUCUGCAGGGCAAGCCAAUCAUGCAACGCAAAGCAAAAGGACAUCAUCUGCCAAUCAAAACAUUCUGUUUGGAAUGUUCCCAGGAAAGGACAGUUGGAAGCUAACCCCAUAGCUGAAGAACUUCUCUCUUGGCUUUAAAGAGGGGAAGGAGGAAGAAGGUUUUGUGUGGCUGAGGGUGGUGGCUGAACCUAAAGAGCUAAUUGUGUCUCUGGACUUGAAUUAAUCAAGAUGAGAUUAUCUGGCUGUUUGGGAAAGAAGAGAGAAGAAAAUAAUUGUCCCUGCUAGUGACUCCCUUACAGACUUGGUGUCACAGUUGUGACAGAACUGCCAUUUUACCAAUACCCUUCUAACUCUUUGUAUAGGUUAGGGAAUACCCCAUCCCUCUUACCUUGUCCUCCAUCAUGUCCUAUCUUCCCCAAUAAACCUCCUUCCUUGAAAAAGAGAGAAAAAGUA
rnacentral:lncRNA from 1 species